AAAUUUAAUAAUUUUGAAAAUGGAUUUUUUUGUUUUGGCAAGAGCAUGAGAGCUUUUACUGGGCAAGAAGACAAGAGAUGGAGAGUCCAGCCGGGCCUGCGCUUAAGUGCGCGGUCUUGCUAGGCUUGUAAGUUUCUUUCUUGCUAUUCCAAACGGUGAGAGAUUUCUGUGCUUUUGUUAUAGGACAAUUAAAACCGUUUCAAUACAACACACUGUGGAGUUUUCAUAUCUUUGCAACUUUUUCUUUGGGCAUUCGAGCAAUCGGGGCCCAGAGGUAACAAACACAAACAAUUUUAUCUAUUCAUUAAAUUUUUGUCAAAAACAAGAAUUUUCGUAACUGGAAAUUUUAAAAUAUUAAAAACUUUCAACAACGGAUCUCUUGGUUCUCGCAUCGAUGAAGAACGCAGCGAAAUGCGAUACGUAAUGUGAAUUGCAGAAUUCCGUGAAUCAUCGAAUCUUUGAACGCACAUUGCGCCCCUUGGUAUUCCAGGGGGCAUGCCUGUUUGAGCGUCAUUUCCUUCUCAAACAUUCUGUUUGGUAGUGAGUGAUACUCUUUGGAGUUAACUUGAAAUUGCUGGCCUUUUCAUUGGAUGUUUUUUUUCCAAAGAGAGGUUUCUCUGCGUGCUUGAGGUAUAAUGCAAGUACGGUCGUUUUAGGUUUUACCAACUGCGGCUAAUCUUUUUUUAUACUGAGCGUAUUGGAACGUUAUCGAUAAGAAGAGAGCGUCUAGGCGAACAAUGUUCUUAAAGUUUGACCUCAAAUCAGGUAGGAGUACCCGCUGAACUUAAGCAUAUCAUAA
rnacentral:rRNA from 1 species